rnacentral:rRNA from 1 species
UACAGAGGUCUCAAGCGUUGUUCGGAUUCAUUGGGCGUAAAGGGUGCGUAGGCGGCUUGUCACGUCGGGUGUGAAAGCCCGGGGCUUAACCCCGGGUCUGCAUUCGAUACGGGCUAGCUAGAGUGUGGUAGGGGAGAUCGGAAUUCCUGGUGUAGCGGUGAAAUGCGCAGAUAUCAGGAGGAACACCGGUGGCGAAGGCGGAUCUCUGGGCCAUUACUGACGCUGAGGAGCGAAAGCGUGGGGAGCGAACAGG